CAGAAUGAUACAGCUGGGCACCGACGACACAAUCUGUCUGCUUCUGCAAGGUACUUUAAACUGCUCAGGCAGGAAAAACGCUUUCACGCUCAGAAGUAUUUCAAGUGAUGCAUCAACCAGGAAUUCUCUUGGAGCUGGAGAAGUCUUCUUCCUAAUGUUGAAAAUCAAUCAAUCAGCGAACAACCUUUGGCCAUUUUUGAAUUAAAGAUUUGAAAGAAAUGAUGUAACCUCUUCAGCUUCCGUGUUGCCCAAGCUUUUUGUUAUAUGAUGAUGCUGCCAGACCUGAUGAGCUUUUCCAGCAACUUCUGUUUACCUUCCUGAUUUACAGAAUCCACAGUUCUUUCUGUGUUUACAAGAGGCGGAUAGGGGCCACAACCAACACAGUUCUUGCAUGACUUCCAAGGGUACCGUAGAGCAUGCAACUGAAUCUCUCUCCACGUGUACACUUUCUGCUAUUUUUAUUCACUGGGAAGAAUUGCACUGUUGCUGUAGGGACGUCUUCCACAGUGCUCAUCAACUUUGGGAGGGCGCGCCCAUCCCAGUCACUAUCCUUCAUUCACAACUAUAGGCUAUGGAAGAGAUCUACAUGUUGACGACAGUAACUUUGAGGCCUGCAGGAAGCAAAUAAAGGAGACGGCAGUCUGAAUAUUUCCAUUGGGUGGUACAGGAAACAUACUGUGUCUUUAAUGAAUACUAAGAGUACCAGACUCCCCCUUCAACUUUUAAAAUGAUAAAUUUUCAUACAAGGUAGUGAAAAGGAAGAACACGUUGAAGUUGAAUCUUCCUCUCCUUCUUGAACUAGAAUGCUUCAUCAACUAAAUUGGAAAUUUGAAUCAAACAAUGCGUUUCACAAUAUAUGGACCUACAGGAUAUGAACCAAACACAAAAUCGUGACUCUGUAGAUGACUACGUUCCCCCCACCCCCUCCUGAGGAAAUGAUGUCACUGGCAAGCAUUUUGUUCCAAAGGAUCAUUGUUUAUCUGCUCUCUGUAAAGCCAUUUUUCUGAGUCAACUUGCUGGCAGUGUGCUAGUGGGAAUAAUUGAGGACAAACAUUUCAGAGUUUUACUGACAAUCAAUGCAUCAUUCUUUGACAGACUAUUAACAAUCUGUUGACCCAGUGAAAAGCAUGUUUCCAAAAAAAAGAUCAUCUUGCAUUUCUUAUCAAUAAGAUUCUCACACUGCAUAGAUGCAUACACAUAUUGAAUUGUUAGAUUUGCAGUUAGCACACUUGAGAAUCUGCUCAUUGUCAAUAUCUGACCCAAAACUAAUGAUUUACGUUCCAAGCUAAAUGCUGCUUUUAUAUUUCCCGUCAGCUCGUGUUUUCAGCCUUUGCUAUCACGGCAGACCCUGACUUAUCCCCCAUACUGCUCUACAUCUGCGUGACAUGAAAGAUAAUCACGUCACUGUUACAGUCCUGAUAAACUAUGGUUUCCUUUGCUCUGCAUCCCUUUGAAGUUGCAGACAGUUUCAUGAUUCUUGAUAAUCUAAUCUCUGCCCAGCUUGUUCCUUAUGCUGCUCUGGGACAGCAGAGUGAAAAUAUUACAGUAGGAGUAUUGAUUGGCAUAUGUAUGGGUUAGGUAGCACAAUGACUUAAAGAUCCAAACAUGUGCAUUGUACAGCUGAAGUGCUGGAGCUGGAAUGGGGUAGGUGGGUGUGGUGGUAGAGGGCUCUUGACAUUCGUAACAGUGCACUAUUAGUUUAGUGUAAAGAGUAUUCAGGUAGAUGCAGGAUUUGAGAAGGGGAGAUGGUGGUGAGGAGUGGAAUAAUUUCUUGCUGUGAGCAGCUGCAGGCUAUACAACAAUUACCAUUGCAAGGACAAUAAAGAAGUUGUUAGUUAUGGGUAUUAUAUCUCUGCAGCCCAAGAGAAGGGAAAACAGUACCAAUGGUUAAAGUACUUUUUCUUUGUAACUCCUAAGGCAUAUGGAACAAGAACCACCUUAGAUACUUAAUAUGUUGAAUAAAAUGUCUCACUGAAUGGGCCUUGGACAGGAAAUGUGUGAGGAUUACAAGAAGUGGUGGAAAAUGAGGGAGAACUCUGACACAAACGGCUUCUUUAGUUGGGAUAUAAUGAGACAAAUGCAAUUUUCAUUCUUUUUCCUUUGCCAAAAAGAAACAGAGUGGGAUUUUCACCUGGCUGUCUAUGCCGGGUCUUGACUCAGUGGAGUUAAUUUGAUACAUGAUGGACCAUAGUUUAUAUACAAGAUGAGAUUGUUUAAGAGUCUCUUCCACUAAACUUGAAUUCAUUUUUCACCAACUUUUUUUUGUAAGUUAGCUCACAAAUUAGUCACUCCUCUGUCCAGCACCAUAUUUCCAUUGCUUACCAUGCACAUUUUACAGAUAAUGUACUUAGGAAAUGGGAAGCAGACUGCUGAUGAUUGUGGUCCUAAAUUUGGCAUUCCCAAUGUAACAGUAUCAUGAACAGAUGGCUGAGGUAUUUUGAGAGUAUUUCAUUAAUAUAUAACAUUAUUUUUUACAUCCGUCACAAGUUCACAGCAAUGACAUAAAUACCAGCAUUAGUGUGACAUUCUGGUCAACAUAUAAUUAUUAGAUUGUCUUUUGUAAGGCAAAAUGGAGAGCAUUCUUUGUUAAUCGGGACCAUAUAUCUUUUGCCUUUGAUUGCAAGAAUUAGAUAAUUUAUUGUAGCAAGCCUUCUGUGAUAUUAAGUGUUAGUAAAGCUUUGUCAAUCUAUCUUCUGUGAUGUGUAAGGCAAUAUAAGACUAAGUGAGAAAAGAUUUACAGGAGGGGGUUUGUCAUUUCACUAUACUUACUGCUGUCAAAAACCGAACAAAAACAAACAUUUUCAUGUUUACAUGAUGAUGGAAUUCUGUGUACAACUAAUGAAUAGAUUAUUUUAUUAAGCUGUCAUUUGUUCAGAAUAUUUUAGAUUGAUAACAGGCCUACAAUUUGAUGUUAUAGUGCAGUGUGACACUUGAGAGUCAGGGAUUUAUGGACGUUGAGGCCUUCUGAAAAAGACAUUUGAGCAGACGAAGCCUAUUCAUCCUAUUAAAUCUGCUCCACCAUUCAUUGAGAUCAGAUUAUUAUCAUAUGGAUCUGAUAAUCCACAACAUGUCAUGAUGUAAUCAGACUGCCUUGCAGAUCUCACAGCCUGUUCAAAUAUAUUGCUCAUUAACGGACUUUAAAUUCAAUGCUAACACACUUUGGGGCCUCGACUUCCUGGGUAGGAUGGAUUCUUCAUCUUUAGUGGGUCCUCCCUCAUCGAGGGGACUGAAUUGGUGACUGCAGGUUCUGAGUGCGUUUGCAUUUGAUGCCAGUUUUCUGUGUUUCAUGAGGCACUAUCGAUGUAGGGGUUUAAAGUAUUCCACUGGCUGUCUCUUUUAGUUGCAGAAUAUGGAGUGGGAGGAAGAUCAGAAGAAGCACUUUAGAGAAAAAUGUUAGUCCCUGAAAAGUUCUAACUUGUGUACCUGUCCUUAUUGCCAUCAUCUGUGAGCCUGCUGUGGGCAAUUGGGCUUGUUCAACGAAAAUGUAGAGAUGUUUGCAAUAAUUGUUUUGCAUUUGCACAGCUCUAAUACUGAGGUUGUGAGGAAUGAGGGAGAGAACCCCUGCAGAAAUUCACCCCCCUACAAAUUUGAUUUUCCAUCUAGAAGAAGAUUGCUUUCACUAUUACCAUCGAGCUUUACGCUGAAUGACUAUCAGAGCUGUCUGCUCCAAUAUCAAAGGCAAUGUUGUCAUUUAAACACGGUGUCAUCAGGUAUCAGGUCAGAACGUGUUUUCAUUUUGUGAUGCCAAGGCCACUGAUGCCAAAAGUAUGUGAUUAAUAAAGUUUAUUCUGUUUCCUGGCCAUGGGCACAAUGAGUCUGAACCUCUUCAAUGAGUGUUCGAUGGAUUCCUGACCACAAGACCAAUUCUUGCCAUCAAGAUGGCACGGUCCAGAAAAUGAAAAAUAGAACACAGCUUUUAAACAAUCUCAUGCCUGUGAACUAGCCAAUGUGGAACUGUAUAUGAGUUUCUGCUUGUCAUUCUGAGCACUGGUCCACGAAGAAAUGAGGUAGAAUUGCCAAGCAGGUGCUAGAUGUGGUGGCUGAGUAAUGAAACAGAUGUAGUGUGUGUGGACUUACAGAAAGCUUUUGACAAUAUGCCAUUUAGGAAACUACCUGAGAAUACUAGGGGGAUAGAAUCAGGAGGGAAACAUGGCUGAGUAUCAUAUCAGAGGAAAUAGAGUAGGAGUUGAGAGCUGUUUCCCAGACAAGUUGGAAGUGGGUGUUGUGCAUUGUAGCAUUCACACUUUGUGUCAUCAAGCAAUGGUAAAGCCAUUGGCUUUCCAUUUAUAUAGAAAAAAAACAUUUUCUGGAUAGAUGGGCAGGUAAAAUCAACUGGGCGACCAUAUGUUAUCUGGAUCCUGCUGUCUCCAACUUGUCUUUAAACGGCUCCUUUGAAGAUGGUGAUUCCAGUGAGGUACACUGUAAAUAUACCGAUUGGAGAACAGUUUGACUUGGGUCUGGGUAGAGUGUCUUUUCUGGGUUUCACUAAUUGAGAUCUGUUGGCCCUGAAGCCUGGUAUAGUGCUAGGUCAUAGGUGGGUUGGUGGAUUGUGCGGCAUGGAGGGAGGUGGGUUGGGAAUGUGGGUUGUGCGGCAGAGGGGAAGGACUCACGAACAAGGGCAGGGAUUUGGCUUUCUGCAGCCCCUUCAAACCAGAUCUUUCAAUAAAUCAGGAUUCCCUAUUAAGCUCCAUACAUAGUAAGCUCCCAUCCCACUGCUGGUUGAAUGCCAGUGGCAGACCAAGGCCCUUCAUCAAGCUUUAAUUGAUGAAGCAUGAACAGGAUCUCCAUUAGAUCCUCACUUGCCAUCCUCCUACUUGAUGAACUGCCACCUCCUGACACAAACAAUACAGAGGGAAAGACGUUCAAUCCUUUCUGUGAGGUGGAUCUAAGGUAAGUGGAUGACAUUUGAGGUAAAGGAGGGUAACUAAAGGAUGAAGGGUCUAGGCCCGAAACGUCAGCUUUUGUGCUCCUGAGAUGCUGCUUGGCCUGCUGUGUUCAUCCAGCCUCACAUUUUAUUAUCUUGACAUUUGAGGUAAAGUUGUUUUUAAGAAGUCACUUGAAGGACCAAGCGGUUGCUUUCUCUGGAUCACAUGAGGUAAGUUGCAGUCCCCUCCCUUCCCAUCACUCUCCUCCCUGCUGUGGAACCCUUCCAACACAACGGCUGGAAGCCUCCUGCCCCUGGAGACAUCAGGCAGCUGACCUACGAUGUUGGGAUGAAGCCUGGGAGUUAAAAUUGCCUUCACGCUGCUGUGUUCGGGAAAGAUUCGGUGCUCAUCAGGCCAGCCAAGGCCAUCACGCUUACAUUUACCUUGAGCUCCAGGGAAUGGCUUGUAAAAUGCCGAUAACUGUGAAAUAAAGAUGAUUCAAUCUGUAACCGCAAAUAAAUAAUGACCCUCAAUGUCAUGCAAUGGGGUGAUCUUACACGUGAUUACGUUCUCCUUGACUUGGGAUUGCUGGAUGCUGACAGAAUGGUGCAAACAGUGAGAGUGAUGUGGACUCGCAGAAUUGUACAGCUUGAAAGAAGCCAUUCAGCCCAUUAUGUGUGUGCUAGUUCCUUGAAAGAUUUCCUUUUCUAAGAAAAAAUACCCAUUCUCAUUUGUCUUAUUUCAAUAUUCCUGAAUUGUUAGGUAGUAGUUUUAAUAAGCUGGAUACUCAAAAUGCCUAAUUUUGUUAAGGUCUUCAAUAAUUUUGCAUCAAUUCCUAUUUUAAAAGUCAAUCAAAAAUUGUCAUACUUAAUGUUCAUGAAUCGACAUAAGAAAAGCCUUGAGAAACCAUUGUUGCAUGAAGCAUACAUGAUUACAGUAUUUGAAGAGGACUUAUCGAAUUUGUAAUAAUUCUUGCAUGAAGAAGCUGAAGGCUGAGCAUUAGAUUGCUACUUUUGUGUCAUUAUUAGCUAUUGUAACUGUUAGGGCAGCUCACUAAACAAAUUAUGAAUGAAAAGGAGAGAAAUUAAACAUCCGUUGGGAUUUCAGUCAUUCGGAAAACAGCAUGUCACUGAACAUUUGGAUAGACAUUUAACCGAUCAUCAACUUCAUCAUCAGUUUGAUCAGAGAUGGAGCCUAACAACAGCUUGCAUUUAUAUAGUGCCUGUAACUAGUCAAACACUCCACAGGGCUUCACAGUAUUGAUUAUCAGACAAGAUUUGGCACCAAGCUGAAAGAGGGAGGUAUUGUCUGGAUGACCACAAACUAGUUUAACAAGGUGAAUUUCAAAGCACAUUAUAGACAAGGAAAGAAAGAUUGAGAGGCAGAGAGGUUUAAGCAGGGCAUUGCAGAGAUUAGGACCCAGGGGAUGAUCAAGAUGCAGAAGUAGAGGAGUGCUCUGAUAUUGGAGGGUUGUAGGGGUUGUUUUUGUUAAUUUUCAUAACAGCAAUUUCACUCUUUAAAAUAGCUCAGUGGAGUUUCCCUUUUAAAAUGCAUCACUACAUUGAGGAAUUUUCAAGUAGAUUUGGUUUCUGGGGUAGCUCAUGAGUUCUGCUACAUUACAUUCCACAUCUUGCAAUGUAUACACUCAGCCUGGUGAUUCAAUAAUAAAAAGAAGGCAGGAACUAUAUCAGAGUGGACAAUGGGCCCAGGGCAGAUAUGUGAGGAAGAUGGUAUCUGAUGAACACAAAGUGCAAGUCACUUGUGGCUGUUUUAACAUGAGAAUGCUUUUUGUGCUCUACUCUCUAAGCCAGGCAAAUGUUAUUUCAAAAGCACAUCUGUGAAGAUUUUGAGCUGGUAACUGUGUCAUAUUCUUUUCAGGUGUGUUUUCCAUAUAUUUCUCGAGAUUUUUAGAUAAAACAGGAGAAACAAAUGUUUGCAUUUAUGUAGCGCUUC